UUUUAGGUGAAUGGAGCCAACAUUUCCGGUUCAUCGAAAAAAGACAUGGGUUACGGUCCAAACACUUAAAAGACACACCCUAUCCCCUCAGCCCUCAAAUUAAGUAGAUACUUCUGAUGACAUAUCAUGACGUCUGACGAGUAUGUACUUGCAGGGCGAGAGAGAACAAAAACAUAUUUACAUUUCAUGAUAGGAGUUUGUGCCAUCAUUUGCAUUAGUAGCACACUUUCGAACUUAUUUGCAUUCAUUUUUAUUUACACUUGUAUGUUGACUUCUCCCUUGAUGUUGUUUUUUAAAGUUUUCACUGACUUUUCUUUGCAGAUGUACAAUUGUCGCGAAUUGAAUUAUGGGGAGUUCUAGGCCCCAGAGUGAACAUAAUUGUACAAUUGCAGAGCCGACUAAAAACGAGGGCUGAGGGGCUUACGUUGCAAACUUCCCUUGCUUGGCUAAUCAUUUGGACCACCCUCCAAGAUGGCCACUGUAUUUCCCCAAGGGCAUAAGGCGAGGAGUCAAAUGUGAGAGGGCAGCCCAGAUGACCAAGUGACUGAACAAGAUCUGGCCUGCAAACCAGGAACAUGAAGGAGACCGCGAUCCAGAGGGCUCAGUGGACCAGACAGAAUGGAGCCAAGACAGUCGGCGAGCCAUUCCAGACUCUGAAAUCAGGAGGACUUCCAAGAGUUAGGUGUUAGUCAGACUAGUGAUUGACUUGUGGUUGACUGCAAUGGAGAAGUAAUUGUUUGUCAACAAAAUAACACAUUUUAAGUGAUAUGGUGCAGAGUCUCACAAGCAUUAGAAACAGCAGUGGGUGUGAAUACGAUGGGAACAUGUGGAUCUGAGCAAGUGUGAUGCAAGCAAGUGUGAUGUCAUUAAUGUUCGUGGAUAUGUACAGUAUGUAAAUGUAAAGUUGUCUAUUGUUUUUGGCAAUGUGUUUUUGUUUGUAAAAAAAUGAAGUAAAAUUAAAUAGUACAAAAAUUG